CUGCUUUCACAACUGCUGCAACCUCCUCCACAACUGCAGGUGAUUCUUUCUCCGGUUCACCAGCAGGAUUUUGAUCAAUUUUCUCCUUCGCAACCGUCAGGUUUGAAUCUGAAAUCGGUGUAUCUUUCACCACAUCCGCAGUUUCCGACAAAACAAUAUCUUUCUCCAUCAACUUAGCUUCCUCGUUCACCUUGUUCUCCAAUGGCUGCAUCAGGUAUCUCUAGACUUUUGAUACUACGUGUAUAUGUAUGUGCAUACGCAUAACAUACAUAUACUGGGAGAGCAUAUAUGUGUGUGUUAACACAUACUAGUAUAUUCGACUAUGCCUCAGUGAAAGCAUAUGGAUCUUAACGAGAAUCAAAACAGGAUGCAGAAAUCUAUCUAUCAACCUUAAAAGCAUCACACAGAAGAAGUAGCUGCAGUUGCGGUCUGAGAAUCAGAAGCCAUGAAAGAAGAUUCAGAAGGAACUAGAAGAAAAAAAAGUAAUGGACAGGGUUCAACUUCAAAACUCUCAGAUUAUUUAUUGGCAGAGUUGUUGAAGAAAUUAGUUUGACUGAGAGAACUUAAAAAGGAAAUGAUAGGCCGAAAAAACCACUUACACACAUAAAGUGGGGAACACUGGAUAGCUGUCUCUCACCCUAAAACCAGGGUGUCAAGUGUCAACACACUCUGUAUAUUCUCUACUCUUUUCACUUUCUUUAUCCUUACUAUUUUAUUGUUUAUUCUUAGCCAUUAUCUGCAUUU